GAUGAAGAACGUAGCGAAACGCGAUAUGUAAUGUGAAUUGCAGAAUUCAGUGAAUCAUCGAAUCUUUGAACGCACAUGGCGCCUUCCAGUAUCCUGGGAGGCAUGCCUGUCCGAGCGUCAUUACAACCCUCAAGCUCAGCUUGGUGUUGGGCCCCGCCGCCCCGGCGGGCCCUAAAGUCAGUGGCGGUGCCGUCCGGCUCCGAGCGUAGUAAUUCUUCUCGCUCUGGAGGUCCGGUCGUGUGCUCGCCAGCAACCCCCAAUUUUUUUCAGGUUGACCUCGGAUCAGGUAGGGAUACCCGCUGAACUUAAGCAUAUCAAUAAGCGGAGGA
rnacentral:misc_RNA from 1 species